rnacentral:rRNA from 1 species
AUUGAACGCUGGCGGCAUGCUUUACACAUGCAAGUCGAACGGUAACAGGCCUUCGGGUGCUGACGAGUGGCGAACGGGUGAGUAAUGCAUCGGAACGUACCCAGAGGUGGGGGAUAACGCAGCGAAAGCUGUGCUAAUACCGCAUGUGAUCUGAGGAUGAAAGCGGGGGACCGAGCAGCAAUGUUUGGCCUCGCGCCUUUGGAGCGGCCGAUGUCGGAUUAGCUAGUUGGUGGGGUAAAGGCCUACCAAGGCGACGAUCCGUAGCUGGUCUGAGAGGACGGCCAGCCAAACUGGGACUGAGACACGGCCCAGACUCCUACGGGAGGCAGCAGUGGGGAAUUUUUGGACAAUGGGCGCAAGCCUGAUCCAGCAAUGCCGCGUGCGGGAAGAAGGCCUUCGGGUUGUAAACCGCUUUUGGCAGGAACGAAACGGUGUCCGCUAAUACCGGGCGCUAAUGACGGUACCUGCAGAAUAAGCACCGGCUAACUACGUG